AUCCUUUUUUGGUUCAUGAGCAUGAUGAUUUGGUGUUCACGCCUUUGCAUGGGCAUAUGCCUCCCUAAAACCUUGUUUCAAGAACCCUGGCACAUUAUUUGUCUGGUG